UACGAAGGGGGCUAGCGUUGUUCGGAAUUACUGGGCGUAAAGCGCACGUAGGCGGACUAUUAAGUCAGGGGUGAAAUCCCGGGGCUCAACCCCGGAACUGCCUUUGAUACUGCUGUGACUCGAGUCCGGUAGGGGAGCGUGGAAUUCCUGGUGUAGCGGUGAAAUGCGCAGAUAUCAGGAGGAACACCAGCGGCGAAGGCGGCGCUCUGGGCCGGAACUGACGCUGAGGAGCGAAAGCGUGGGUAGCAAACAGG
rnacentral:rRNA from 1 species